GGAUUGGUAGCUGCUCAGUGUCUCUCAUGGCUUUUAGUUCCAUCCUCAAAAGCUGCAGGAGGAAAGGCGGAGCAAAACUUGAAACUCAGAAGAAAUGAGUUGCUGACAGUGCAAUCACAUGUAUGUCCACUCAGAAGGUGAUACCUAGAGACAGAGACAGAGCUGACAAUGCCAGAAGAUGUCAAUGCCAUGCAGAGAGAAGAUAAAUUUAGAGUGAAUGAUUUCCCAGUUAUGCAGGGACCAACAGAGAGUUUAUAAUAAAACAAUUUAAACACA